UAUGAUCAUGAAACUUCAGAGGUACAUUGAUCAUGACUGUCAGAUGACCUCUAUUGAUUUUCAGGUCACUAGGUCAAAGGUCAAGGUCACAGUGACUCGAAAUAGUAAAAUGGUUUCCAGAUGAUAACUCAAGAAUGCUUACGCCUAGGAUCAUGAAACUAUAUAAGUACAUUGAUCAUGACUGGCAGAUGACCCCUAUUGAUUUUCAGGUCCCUAGGUCAAAGGUCAAGGUCAGAGUGACACAAAAUAGUAAAAUGGUUUCCGGAUGAUAACUCAAGAAUGCUUACGCCUAGGAUCAUGAAACUUCAUAGGUACAUUGAUCAUGACUGGCAGAUGACCCCUAUUGAUUUUCAGGUCACUAGGUCAAAGGUCAAGGUCACAGUGACACGAAACAGUAAAAUGGUUUCCAGAUGAUAACUCAAGAAUGCUUAUGCCUAGGAUCAUGAAACUUCAUAGGUACAUUGAUCAUGACUGGCAGAUGACCCAUAUUGAUUUUCAGGUCACUAGGUCAAAGGUCAAGGUCACAGUGACUCGAAACAGUAAAAUGGUUUCUGGAUGAUAACUCAAGAACGCUUACGCCUAGGAUCAUGAAACUUCAUAGGAACAUUGAUCAUGACUGGCAGAUGACCCCUAUUGAUUUUUAGGUCACUAGGUCAAAGGUCACUGUCAGAGUGACUCUCAACAGUAAAAUGGUUUCCGGAUGAUAACUCAAGAAUGCUUACGCCUAGGAUCAUGAAACUUCAUAGGUACAUUGAUCAUGACUGGCAGAUGACCCCUAUUGAUUUUCAGGUCACUAGGUCAAAGGUCAAGGUCACAGUGACUCGAAAUAGUAAAAUGGUUUCCGGAUGGUAACUCAAGAAUGCUUACACCUAGGAUCAUGAAACUUCAUAGGUACAAUGAUCAUGACUGGCAGAUGACCCCUAUUAAUUUUCAGGUCACUAGGUCAAAGGUCAAGGUCACAGUGACACGAAACAGUAAAAUGGUUUCCAGAUGAUAACUCAAGAAUGCUUAUGCCUAGGAUCAUGAAACUUCAUAGGUACAUUGACCAUGACUGGCAGAUGACCCCUAUUGAUUUUCAGGUCACUAGGUCAAAGGUCAAGGUCACAGUGACUCAAAAUAGUAAAAUGGUUUCCGGAUGAUAACUCAAGAAUGCUUACACCUAGGAUCAUGAAACUUCAUAGGUACAAUGAUCAUGACUGGAAGAUGACCCCUAUUAAUUUUCAGGUCACUAGGUCAAAGGUCAAGGUCACAGUGACAAAAAACAUAUUCACACAAUGGCUGCCACUACAACUGACAGCCCAUAUGGGGGGCAUGCAUGUUUUACAAACAGCCCUUGUUUUUAUGGCAACAACCAUACCCCUCCUCUUGUACCCUCACCCCCUUCAUUGCUAGAUCCAAUUCUUAAAUAAGUAACUUGCAGGCUGUUCCGGUUUAAGGCUGGUUGCACACAGCCAUUUUCAUCUAACAAUAUUUCACAAGUUAUUUUACUUUACAACAUUUCACAAGCUCUUUCACUUUAAAACAUUUCACAUGUUAUUUCACUUUAAAACAUUUUAGUUGCUAUUUCACUUUACAAC